rnacentral:rRNA from 1 species
CAGUCGUGCUGGCGCGAAAUCAACCCUCUCGUCGGGAGGAUCACAUGUUGUGGCGAGCCUCAAAACCGCCACGGCGUGUGACCUCACGAUGAGGGGGAGCACUUUCGUGUCCGCUGGUUAACAUCAAUUUCGAACGUCAUAAAAAGGCUGGAGGGAUGUGGCUCCUUCGGGAGUGUUAUAACCUUUAGCGGAAUGUGGUGUUCGGGAUUGAGGACUGCAACGAAUACCUUUAGGGCUGUUCCACCUGGCUUCUCUUUGGUGUCCUGGUGACGACAGCUUGCUGACGUCGUUAGAUUCGCCUUUGAACAGGCUAGAGUGUGAGCAAAUUCGUUAAGGAUGUUAACGUAAUGGCUUUAAACGACCCGUCUUGAAGCACGGACCGAGGAGUCUAACAUAUGUGCGAGUGUUU